GGGUGUAUAGUUCAGACUGGAAGAACACCUACUCGGUGGCCUUGUAGUGAAAUGAUGGCGUGGGGGGUGCUACGCGCGACAUCUCCUGAUUUCAUACGAUUAACAAGGUCACUAAGAUAGGAGGCUCAGGGUUCAAGUCCCUGUGCACCCA
rnacentral:tRNA from 1 species